rnacentral:tRNA from 1 species
GGGGCUGUGGCUCAGUGGUAGAGUGCUCACCUAGCAUGUGUGAAGAGGUGCUGGGUUUGAUCCUCAGCACCACA